rnacentral:rRNA from 1 species
AGCGGAGGAAAAGAAACCAACCGGGAUUGCCUCAGUAACGGCGAGUGAAGCGGCAAAAGCUCAAAUUUGAAAUCUGGCACUUUCAGUGUCCGAGUUGUAAUUUGUAGAAGUAGUUUUGGGGCUGGUCCUUGUUUAUGUUCCUUGGAACAGGACGUCAUAGAGGGUGAGAAUCCCGUGUGGCGAGGAUCCCAGUCCUUUGUAAAACGCUUUCGAAGAGUCGAGUUGUUUGGGAAUGCAGCUCUAAGUGGGUGGUAAAUUCCAUCUAAAGCUAAAUAUUGGCGAGAGACCGAUAGCGAACAAGUACAGUGAUGGAAAGAUGAAAAGAACUUUGAAAAGAGAGUGAAAAAGUACGUGAAAUUGUUGAAAGGGAAGGGCAUUUGAUCAGACAUGGUGUUUGGACGCCCUGCGCUCCUUGUGGGUGCAGGACACGCUUUUCACUGGGCCAACAUCAGUUUUGGCAGCAGGAUAAAUUGCCAGGAACGUAGCUGCCCUCGGGUAGUGUUACAGCCUGGUGGAAUACUGCUAGCCGGGACUGAGGACUGCGUCUUUGACAAUGGAUAUGCAUAAGACUGUCG